rnacentral:rRNA from 1 species
UAUGAGUACAGGCCGAAUUAAGGCGAAACCGCAAACGGCUCAUUAAAUCAGUCAUAACUUAUUGGAUGUCGAACGCAGACUUGGAUAACUGUGGUAAUUCUAGAGCUAAUACAUGCAACUAUGCCGUGACCUCGGCCGACGUUUACCAUUCCUGCUCCGGCCUCGUUGAAGCCAACUAGCAGCAACCGGCCGACCGUUAGCGGCAGACAGGCAUCCAUCCAGCCAGCUAGUCCGUUAGUCAGCUUUAGUUACUCGUCUAAGGCGUGUAUCUUCAGCGGCCUCGGAUGGCUGCUGCGGUUGUCGUCGUCGCUGUCGUACCCGGUCUUUUGCUGUUGUUGCGACUUCGGCUUGGAAAAUCGCGCGAGCGUGCGAAAUGGGUCGGUCGAGGGCAGGGUGCUUUUAUUAGAUCACAAACCGAUCGGGCCCUCGGCAUGAAAGACGAGCGAACGACGUUCUUAUCUUUAACGAUAUAGGGCCGCUCGCUUCGUUCGUCGUUGCCGUCGGGCCCGUCCUUCUCUUCUCCCGUUGAGGUUGUUCCCGAGGUUGUGACUGACUUUCAUCCUCCUCCUCGAAAGCGAUCGCUCGCUCGCUCGUUCUUUUCACCUCGCGGGGUGGAAGAGUAACGACGACGAUGUCGAUCCUCGUAGGUGCGAGAUGUUAGCGCGUCCUCCUCACCAACAAGGGCUUCCUCGUCUCGGGAGGAGGGUCUAGUGAUGACUCUGGAUAACAGUGCCGAGCGCUAAGGUCUUCGAACCGGCGCCGUGUCUUUCAAGUGCCUGCCUUAUCAGCUCUCGACUGUACGAUAUACGUCUACAGUGGCUGUAACGGGUAACGGGGAAUCAGGGUUCGAUUCCGGAGAGGGAGCCUGAGAAACGGCUACCACAUCUAAGGAAGGCAGCAGGCACGCAAAUUACCCACUCCUGGCACGGGGAGGUAGUGACGUGAAAUAACGAUGCGGGACUCUUCCGAGGCCUCGCAAUCGGAAUGAGUUAACUUUAAAUCCUUUCGACGAGGAUCGAUUGGAGGGCAAGUCUGGUGCCAGCAGCCGCGGUAAUUCCAGCUCCAAUAGCGUAUAUUAAAGUUGCUGCGGUUAAAAAGCUCGUAGUUCAAUCUCACGAUUGAAAAGACGGAGAGAAAGCGCCGCAUUAGGGCGCCUGCCUCCUUCUCUCCUCCUCAUACAGUUGCUCGGCUCGUCGUCCUCCUCCUCCUCUUUCUUGAGGGAGGGAGAUGCCGAAAGCAGCGACGAAACGUGAGAAGACGGUGCUACAAACGGUAAUAGCAGUAGAGUUAGCUGCAUUUAGACGUCGGUCGGUUGUGGUGUCGUCGUCGUCGGCCGUGUUCGCGGAAGACGCGCGGUCCUAUCCCUUCACGCCGCCGCGCUUCGGGUUAGCUUGGAGAAGUCUUCUUCUUAAGCUGGCACCUUUAGCGCGGUCGUGGCUUCUAAGAAAAAGGGUAGGACGUUGUUGCGUCUCCGUUAACGGUCGUCGUCGUCGUCCCUGCCGCCGAUUGUACUAAUGCUAACUAUUACUAUUAUUUCGUUUACCGNCGACUCGUUCGUCGUGUCACUUUCGCUCUUUUAUCCUCCUACUCAAACGGAAGGAAGCGAGUGGUGUAGACGUCGAAGUCAGCAGCAGCAGCGUUAGAGGGUGGAGGAGGAGGUGUCCCGGCGUAAAAAAACCGUCCUUUUACAUGACAACAAUGGCCGGCCCGCCCGGCGCCAAUGGCGACGGGACGGUGGUGACUGCCCUGGGAGUGGAACGGGGUAUGAUCGGUGUUGUUGUUGUCGUCGUCUCGCUCAGUCAGUCAAGCGAGCUUGCUGCUAGUCGAGGAAAGUAGUCACUCACUCACUCACUCACUCACUCAUUCAAUCAAUCAAUCCUUAACGGAGAGUAGUAGUUGUAGUAGAGCCGCCUUCUUCCUCGAUGUUCGCUCCCCCGCUUGUACUGUUAUAGUAGCGUUUCGAACACCAGCAGCAUCAUCGUAUCCGCUAGUACACGUCUUGAGGGGGGUUGCUGCCGCUGCUCGCUCGCGGUUGCGCGCACGCGCCCGGCCGGCCACUUUCACUUUGACAAAAUUAGAGUGCUCAGAGCGGGCAAGAUCUGAAGCCCGAAUGGAGGUGCAUAGAAUGAUCUAAGAUGACCUCGCGAUCUAAACGUUUGUCGGUUUAUGGGGUCGCGAGGUAAUGAUUAAAGGGGACGGACGGGGGCGUAAGUAUGGCCCGGUUAGAGGUGAAAUUCUUGGACCCGGGCCAGACUAGCUACUGCGAAAGCAUUCGCCAAGAACGCUUUCAUUAAUCAAGAACGAAAGUCAGAGGAUCGAAGGCGAUCAGAUACCGCCCUAGUUCUGACCAUAAACUAUGCCAACUAGCGAUCCGUCGGAGUCAUUCCCACGACUCGGCGGGGAGCCCCCGGGAAACCGAAGUCUUUGGGUUCCGGGGGAAGUAUGGUUGCAAAGCUGAAACUUAAAGGAAUUGACGGAAGGGCACCACCAGGAGUGGAGCCUGCGGCUUAAUUUGACUCAACACGGGGAAACUCACCAGGCCCGGACACCGGAAGGAUUGACAGAUUGAGAGCUCUUUCUCGAUUCUGUGGAUGGUGGUGCAUGGCCGUUCUUAGUUGGUGGAGCGAUUUGUCUGGUUGAUUCCGAUAACGAACGAGACUCUACCCUAUUAACUAGUCGGAGUAUCGUUACCCGAGAGAGGUUUCCCUCUCGCGCCGAUACCCGUGGGGAUAGCGUCAACGACGAAUCCAGGGCCCUGCCCUUUGCCGUUCUUCGUCGUUCGCUGGCGUCGUCGUCGCGGCUGAUGCUGCGUGUAGCUGCUGCUGCUGCUGCUGCUGCCGCCUCUCGAGGUGGUGGUGGUGGUAAGUAGUAGUAAUGCACGCACGCAGGCGCGCGCGGCUCAGUGUUCGAGUAAACGGUUUAGGUGGUAGGGUUCCUCGUUCGCUCGUUAGCCGCCUCUCCCGGGUCGGACAACGCGAGGGGGUUCCAUGAGGGGUGUACUCCGCAAACUAUCUUCUUAGAGGGAUCGGCGGUGUCCAGCCGCACGAGAAAGAGCAAUAACAGGUCUGUGAUGCCCGAACGUACGCGGGUCUCCCACGACAACCACCGACCGCCUCUCUCCGUACAUCUGCCUCGCCGCGGCCAUCAGCAUCGCUUCCUCCAUCAAGGGAAGCUGCGCCCACCGUUGGCUCCCGCAGUCAGGCUGCAGGAGUGACUUAGUAAGUUAGCCAUCAUCGCUGCCCGCCACACAUGUUUCCCGUCCCUGCAUUAGUUGCGCUCGACGACUGAGCGAGAAUGACCCUUAAGGAGCAAGUACCUCUUCUUAACGUUAGGGGUUAGGGUUAGCCCGUCCCCAAAGUUUGCCAAUGGGCGAGGAAAGCCUCCCUUUCGCGAAACUAGGGACGUAACAUCGCGCGCACGACGGGUCUUGUAGAUUCCC